CUGAUUUGGCAGAAGAGCUCUUCCUGUUAGCCACGCUGCUAAGAGGAAGCUGACACAGCUUUGCUGGUCCAAGGACAGCUGUGAAGAUACUGUGGCAUAGAAAUACCCCUUGUUUUUGCUUUUGAAAGCAUUCUGAACAUUUUCAAGAAGUCUGAAGUUUUCCUGUUAUUCACUAGUUCCCUGAGAGACCCCAUGACCAGUCUCAUCUCUUUGCUCCUCUCACUUCUGUUUUCUCUGUGAACCCAGGCCAGAUUUGUACACACAGUGCACCCCAACCCCUGAAGGCUUCUGGCACCACUCCUGAAUACAUGAACUUUUGCCAAGCCUCCCUGCUGUGGAAAGAUGUAUAGAGUUUUCCUUAGGACUUGCACUGCCUGGCCUCUCUCUUCUCAAGAGAACAAUAGGGUUUGGAAGGGACCUGGAAAGAUCACCCAGUCCAACCCCCCUGCCAGAGCAGGAUCACCCAGAGCACAUCACACAGGAACGUGUCCAGGUGGGUUUGAAUGUCUCCAGAGAAGGAGACUCCACAGCCUCUCUGGGCAGCCUGUCCCAGGGCUCUGUCACCCUCACAGUGAAAAAGGUUUUCCUUAUGUUUAUGUGGAACCUCCUAUGCUCCAACUUCCACCCAUUGCCCCUUGUCCUGUCAUUGGACAUCACUGAGAAGAGCCUGGCUCCAUCCUCCUGACACUCGCUCUUUACAUAUUUAUAAACAUUACUGAGGUUGCCCCUCAGUCUCCUCCAAGCUCAAGAGACCCAGCUCCCUCAGCCUUUCCUCAUCAGGGAGAUGUUCCUCUCCCUUCAUCAUCUUUGUGGCUCUGCCCUGGACUCUUUCAAGCAGUUCCGUGUCCUUCUUGAAUCGAGGGGCCCAGAACUGAUCUUGAAUAGUGCUUGCUAAGUUCUAACAUUCAGCAUUUUCUAGCUGUCCUGUCUCUGUAACUGAACUCAAUCAUCCUGAUAGUGCUUGAGAUACACAGAAAAAAAAAAUGCAGUACCUGGGAAACACCGAGUACUGGAACAUUAUCUCUGUCUUUUUUGUUCAUUUGAAAAUGAGUAACUAACACUGUAUUAUAACUUGGCUUUCUAAUUUUCAUUUCAGCAGGUAUGGAGCAUAACAUAGGAGUCCUUAUUCUAACUCCAGCUCCCAACAAACCACUUUACAUGCAGUGUAACAUGAUACCAAAGAGAUUACCAGCAGACAAAGACUUUCAGAGAAAGACAUAGACUAUGGCUUGCUGCUCUGCUUCUCCCAAAAUUAUUCUGAAAAUACUGGCUAUAAAACAAUAUAUUUUAUCUAUGUUAGUUAUUUAGGCAAUGAUAUUUAUCUAACUAUGCACAUCUUUCAUGGCAAAGCUCUUCAGUUAUGGAUGGCAAGGCCUUCAAUGGAGCUGCACCUAUUUAUACUAGUAGAUAUUAUACUCUCAGAUUUUCAGACAAGGAUUAUUAGCUGUGGAUAAAAAAAGACAUCAUAGAUUUGCUUUGUUCUGCAUUAUUUCUGGAAACACUUCAUGGUAUUUUACAAACAGUGCAAAAAAAUUCUGUUUUCCCAUCUUUGCAAGCAGUAGCAAUUAUAAUGGCAAGGGAUAGCAGAAGCAUAGUAAACCAGCCAAAAAAGUUAAGGAUAAAAAGCGUAAGUACUGAGUCCAGUUACCUCCUAUGAUGAAGCUCAGGUGAUGAGGUGAAAUCCGUAUUUUUUUCUAUUCAGGAGGAAGAAACAAUCUAAAAAAAAUAAAAAUAUAUAUAUAUUGAGGUAACUCCUAGAGAAGUGGUGAGGUAAAUUUUUAGUCUGUUUAUGACAGUAUUAUAAUUGCAUUAUACCUCUACCCUAACAAGUAACAAGAUGGUCAGUACAUCUCAAAUAUCUUUCAAGGAUUUCAAGGCUUCUAAUAAGCACAAAGAGAUGGAUUGUGACGGACCAUUCUGUGACAACACUGGAUGAUGGAUACAGAGUAAAGUGCUUUCCUAAUUAAUGUGAUCCACAUGAGGACCAGGCAGGCUUUAGUCUUGCCCAGAAGGCAGGAGCACA